AACCAUGACAUGUGAGUGGAUGAUGCAAUGCUUAGCUAACCAUGACAUGUGAGUGGAUGACUGAAAACCUACCCCAACAACAAUUCCCACUCUUGCCGUGACUUACCUACCCAUUCCACCAGAAAUUUGUGCUUAAACAAGUCCAUCAUCUCCCUAUAAAUACCAUGCAGCAACCUCAUUGAAUUCAUCCAGAAAUUAACCAUUCUCCAAGC
rnacentral:lncRNA from 1 species